GCCGCAGUAGCUCAAUGGAGGAGCCACGGUCUUCUAAACCGUUGGAUGUGGGUUCGAGUCCCAUCUGCGGUUCCA
rnacentral:tRNA from 1 species